rnacentral:hammerhead_ribozyme from 1 species
AUCCAGCUGGCGAGUUCCAGAUAGGACGAAACGCACGUCCUGGAU